rnacentral:rRNA from 1 species
AUUGAACGCUGGCGGCAGGCCUAACACAUGCAAGUCGAGCGAGCGGCGGAAGGGUUACUUAUGUAUGGGCCUCUUCCCGAUGGAUGGGGUUCACUACUGGAAACUGUUGCUAAUACCGCCUACCUUCCGCUAGACCCAUAUGGGAUUAGCUAGUAGGUAAGGUAAAGGCUUACCUAGGCGACGAUCCCUAGCUGGUCUGAGAGGAUGAUCAGGCACACUGGGACUGAGACACGGUCCAGACUCAUACGGGAGGCAGCAGUGGGGAAUAUUGCACAAUGGGCGCAAGCCUGAUGCAGCCAUGCCGCGUGUAUGAAGAAGGCCUUCGGGUUGUAAAGUACUUUAAGUCGGGAGGCGUUACCGACAGAAGAAGCACCGGCUAACUCCGUGCCAGCAGCCGCGGUAAUAC